CCCUUAGAUGUUCGGGGCCGCACGCGCGCUACACUGAAUGAAUCAGCGAGUGUAUGUCCUAGGCCGAAAGGUCCGGGUAACCCGUUGAACCUCAUUCGUGAUUGGGAUAGGGACUUGCAAUUGUUUCCCUUGAACGAGGAAUUCCCAGUAAGCGCAAGUCAUCAGCUUGCGUUGAUUACGUCCCUGCCCUUUGUACACACCGCCCGUCGCUCCUACCGAUUGAGCGAUCCGGUGAAUGUUUUGGACUGGCGUCAGAAGCGGUUCGCUCCUGACACUACGAAAUUUUGUAAACCUUAUCGCUUAGAGGAAGGAAAAGUCGUAACA
rnacentral:rRNA from 1 species